GCAAGUCCGAACCGUAGCAGGAGAAAGCUUGCUUUCUUGCUGACGAGUGGCGGACGGGUGAGUAAUGCUUGGGAAUCUGGCUUAUGGAGGGGGAUAACUACGGGAAACUGUAGCUAAUACCGCGUAACAUCUUCGGAUUAAAGAAUGGGACAUUUGCCAUUCGCCAUAAGAUGAGCCCAAGUGGGAUUAGGUAGUUGGUGGGGUAAAGGCCUCCAAGCCCGACCAUCUCUAGCUGGUCUUGAAAGGAUGACCCACCACGCUUGGAACUUGAGACACGGUCCAGACUCCUACCGGGAAGCAGCAAUGGGGGAAUAUUGCCCCAUGGGGGCAACCCUGACGCAGCCAUGCCGCGUGAAUGAAGAAGGCCUUCGGGUUGUAAAGUUCUUUCGGUGGUGAGGAAGGCUUAUGUGUUAAUAGCACUUAAGAUUGACGUUAGCCACAGAAGAAGCACCGGCUAACUCCGUGCCAGCAGCCGCGGUAAUACGGAGGGUGCGAGCGUUAAUCGGAAUGACUGGGCGUAAAGGGCACCGCAGGCGGAUUGUUAAGUGAGAUGUGAAAGCCCCGGGCUUAACCUGGGAAUUGCAUUUCAGACUGGCAAUCUAGAAGUAUUUUAGGGAGGGGUAGAAUUCCACCGUGUAGCGGUGAAAUGCGUAGAGAUGUGGAGGAAUACCGAAGGCGAAGGCAGCCCCUUGGGAAUAUACUUGACGCUCAUGUGCCGAAAGCCGUGGGGAGCAAACAGGAUUAGAUACCCUGGUAGUCCACGCUGUAAACGAUGUCCGAUUUGGGGAUUGGGCUUUAAGCUUGGUGCCCCGAAGCUAACGUGAUAAAUCGACCGCCUGGGGA
rnacentral:rRNA from 1 species